UUUCAUUUCGCAUAGCAAAUGCAGAGGAGAUGCCUCUGUUAACAGCACACUUUUAUUUUGCAGCUCCUCAGGCUGAUGGAGUCAGGGAGGAAGUGGUUUAUCAACAGCACAGGAUAUCUGAAGGGAACAGAACGUAUCCAGACAUGCCCCAGAUUGUCUACCCAUGGGGACUGAGAUACCUCUGAGAUUUACAUCAGAAAGGAAGGAGAGGCUGUUUCUACAGGUGCCACAGAAAAAUCGAUGCAGAGCCACCGAUUAUUGGAUCCCAUAGAACUGUGGAGACUUGGCAGUGAAAUUCUUCCAAAGGCAGAGGUGUUCCUGGUUUGGGAAGUAUAAAUCCCGUGGGAAGCCAACUGGAGGACAUUUUAUGCAUCACUCAUCCUAUUAUGAGCCUGCUGCUCUUCUGUCUCUUGACAAGAUUGACUGAAAGGAAUCUUUGCUCAAAUUUGGGUCACGUAGACAGUAUUCUAUUCUGAUUAUACCCCUGUUCUGUGCAAGGCCACCGACUAGAAGGGCACAGAAUUAUUCAUAAAACAGCUGAAUGUGAAUGUCUUUGGAUUCCCAUUUAAUGAGACUCCCUGCCUCUUCUGUUUCUCAUCGAUGCUUCCUUGUAUACCGGUUGGCAGCUAAAGGACAGGAGCAGCAAUAAGGCUUCCUAGGGACAUUUUCAUGGUGCCACCAACUGCGAGUUAAGCUGACAAACAUUUUGAGAGCUCGGCCCAUUUCAUUCCCAGCAGGAUGGCAGGAGUUAACUAAAACAGAAUAAACUAAAAAUUGUGCCUUCAUUGCAAAUUUGAACUGAUUCUCAGCACUGAAAAUGGCUAAGUUCUGCUCAGCAAGCGGGUGACUGAUUGUCCCUGCCAGCUGGCUAAUAUCAUAAUUAGCAAAGUUGCUACCACAUCUGCAAAGUUUAAUCGAAAAAUUUACCAGUGGUAUGAUGGCAUUGUCACCAUGAUCCUAAGGGAAUCGGAGUCGACUUCUGCUUCAAGAGGAAUGGCAAGGCUGUAGAGCUGAGAUGAGAAACUGUAAACUUGCUCAGCCAAAGAUAACUUGUUACUAGCAUUCAGAUAUGCUUACAUAGGAUCCCUAACACAAUCAACCACAAAGGAUUAUAGUUGCUCUAGGAACCACACCCUGGUGAAGGAGAAGGCUGAAGCCCUGAUCCACAACAGGAACUUGCCUUCCAAGAAAACAGCCCCCUGCUGACUGGGCCAACUCAUAGCUCCACUGACAUGGUUACCUCCUAGUUUUUGUUUCCUCACGUCUAUGAAAGUAUAAUAUCACAAGAAGCAAGGCUUGCAAAAUCCCUGGGCAUCCUGAAAGCCAAUGUCAUAAACAGACAGCUUAUGGUCUGUUUACUGCCAGAUUCCUUUUCAAACUAAUCUGAAAUGCAAUGCAUAGGCCUCUAUGUGCUCUAGUGAAGAAGAAAGACAAGGACUGAAUGACGUCUGGCAGGAUUGCCCUACAUACGAUGUCAGCCUCAUGACACGGGCUCUGUGAGAUCUGUUUGAAAGGGAAGAGCUAAACAGAGUCAUGAGUCUGAUCCUACAGAGCAACGAAAACUUCCUCCGCUGCACUGAAUCAUAGAUACAACCAAGCAGUGCAUUUGUUAAGAAAAAUAUGGAAAUGCAGGCUUUUCUGGCCUCUCUCCCCGUUUCAUCAUGGUGUGUCAGGAGUACAUGAGGUGCUGAUGAGACGUUAUGCUUCGCAUCACCCACCAGGGAGGAUCAUCUCUCAUGAAAACUUUCAAAUUUGAUUUUGAAAAUUUAUUCAGAAAAAUUUAAGCCAUGCUCUUUCCCAACACAGGAAAUAAUAUGCUCCAGAGAAUCCUCUAAUUCACCGAAAAUGGACUUGGAUAACAUUUGGGUUCUCAUACUACCACAGUCCUCUUGAGAAGGACAGGCAGGAGGCUAAUAAUGAAGGGGCCAGGGAAAGAGGCCAAUGCUACAGGGUUAUCUCCUAACCUCAGAUGUUGGAUAAGUCCACGGAAACAGCAGCGCUUCAGGAUGGCUUCAGAAAGGCUGGAGUGAUUGUUUGGAAGAGAAAAACCUGCCUAUUCAUUCAAAGGUACAUGAAUGUUGUCGAGACUGUCCCAUCUAAAGAAUCCUGCCUUAGACAAAGGAUGCGCUUGGAGCCUCACCACACCUAAAACCACGCUUUGAAGGGUCUGCCAAGCUCACUUUUAAUCAUGAGAAAGAAAUUACCCACAUGGAGACAGCAGAAAAUGAGAAAGUAGAGAUCGUGCUGCGAAUAAUUCCAGCGAGUGCCAAGGGGCUAGUUGAGGAAUGGCUUCA